rnacentral:rRNA from 1 species
UACAGAGGGUGCGAGCGUUAAUCGGAAUUACUGGGCGUAAAGGGCGCGUAGGUGGAUGAGUGAGUGAGAUGUGAAAGACCUAAGCUUAACUUGGGGAUGUCAUCUCAAACUGCUUGUCUCGAGUAUGGGAGAGGGAAGUGGAAUUUCUGGUGUAGCGGUGAAAUGCGUAGAUAUCAGAAGGAACAUCCGUGGCGAAGGCGACUUCCUGGCCCAAUACUGACACUGAGGCGCGAAAGCGUGGGGAGCGAACAGG